UAAAGUAAUCGAUCAAUUUCAUAUGAGUUUACAUUUGUGUACCAGACAUUAAUAUAAAAUAAUUCAUUAUACAUCUAUACUUAUAUAUAUUUAAAUCACAAAUGCUAAAUUCCACAUAUAUAUAUAUAUUUACGAUUUCUUCAUCCUACGUUGAAAGUUAUCGAUUAGUUUGACAUGACAUAGCAACGUUCUGGAAACCAACAUGGCGGACGAAAAUGACAGUAAAUUUUAUUUGGAGCAUGAAGAAAUUUUAGAUGACUCAGAUGAUGACUUUAAGUAUGAAGAAGUACCUGUUGAUGAGGAACUUGUUGAGCCAGAUUUUGAUGAAGAUUUGGAUAUUGCUGUAAGGACCAUCCAGGAGGCUGAACAAGACAUUAAAGCAAGUCUCCAAAAAGAUGGGAAGGAGAAGGCACCUGUUACGGCUAGACCAGAAGUAAUUGAUGAUUUUGUCAGGAAUUUCUUGGUGAAAAUGGGCAUGGGUCGAACUCUUGAUUGUUUUCAAACAGAAUGGUAUGAACUACAACAAAAGGGCCAGUUGAAAGAAGAAGAUGUAGGUGUUGUACCAGAUAUCUACACACGAAAUCAGCAACUUGACACACAAGUCAAAUAUUUACGUCAAGAUGUUGACAAAUUCAGAGAUGCAGCCAUGAAAGCCAAGGAUACAUAUGUAAAGCUGAGGAAAGAGAGGGACUACCACAGGAUGCAUCACAAACGAGUGGUUCAGGAGAAAAAUAAACUCAUCACGGACAUUAAAAGACUAAAGAAACAUUAUGCUGCAUAUGAGCCAACUCUAAAACAACUUAAAGUGAAGUAUGAAGCAGCCAUGAAGGAGAAGAUGCUUACAAAGCUAGAGAGAGACAGGGCAGUAGGUCAGGUGUCUGGGCUUCAAAACACAUUGAAGACCAUGGGAGACUCAGCAAACUACACAUCAGGAGCUUUGAAUGCAUCUACCACCAGGAUGUGCCAAAAGGGAAGAUAUGAGCUGCUGGAUGAGGAAGGGAGAGGUCCUACCCAGAGGUCUAUAUAUGAAAGCAGACAGAAAGCAAUGCUUGAAAGUCAGAAAGAUGUAACCCAACAACCUAUGCCAAGACACCCUGAUGAUACAGAGUUUCCACCUGAUACUGGAGUUAACCCCUACCUGUCCCAAGUGAAGGUACCCCCAGGUCACCUUACUAGGACUGGAGGAUUCAGACUUACACACACAUUCCAGGCACACUCACAACCUGUUAGCAAUGUUGCUUUGCAUCCACGCAAGCAGAUUCUUGCGACAACCAGUGAUGACCACACAUGGAAGAUGUGGUCUAUACCCAGUGGAGAAAUUAUCAUGACAGGGGAGGGGCACACAGACUGGGUAGCUGAUUGUGCUUUCCAUCCAACAGGUUCAAGGCUGGCAACUGUAAGUGGAGACUCCACAGCUAAAAUAUGGGACUUCUCAAAGGCUGAAUGUGUGCAUACAUUUGAGGACCAUACUCAUGCUGUAUGGGGCUGCAGUUGGCAUUCCUGUGGAGACUUCCUUGCUACCUGCUCCCUUGAUAAUACUUCAAAAGUUUGGGAUCUCAACAGCUUGCGAUGUCGGUAUACACUGAGAGGCCAUGCUGACUCUGUUAAUAGUAUAGAAUUCCUACCUUUCUCUAACACUCUCUGUACCUGCUCAGCUGAUAAAACACUCUCACUUUGGGAUGCAAGAACAGGCUUGUGUGCGCAGACGUUCUAUGGACAUAUGCAUUCUGUUAAUCAUGUAACAUUCAACCUCAGAGGUGACACAGUUGCAUCCUGUGACUCUUAUGGAAUCAUAAAAUUAUGGGAUGUACGCACAGUUGCUCCCAUGACCAGUCUUGAUGUUGGACCACAUCCUGCCAACAGAGUAGCCUUUGACCCAUCAGGCUCAAUUGUUGCAGUAGCUAGCAAUGAUGGAUCUGUGAAGAUGUAUGAGGUUGCCUCUGGACAGGUGACAUCUCUGGUAGGACACGAAGAUGCAGCACAAUCCACAAUAUUUGACAGAAAUGGAGAAUUCCUUGUAUCUGGGGGUAGUGACUGUACAGUGAGGAUUUGGUCAUAGACUGUUUAGAUAUUACCACUACUAGAGAUGGUGUAUUAAAGUCCAUCAUUGGAGUUGUAUUGAGAUAUUGCAGGACUCAGAUUCAUUAAAAAUAGGAAACAAACAUUGUGUGAUUUGCUUAUGUUACACAAUUGGUAAAAGGUUAAAGAUAAAUUUUGGGCAAUAAAUUUUCAAGAUUUUAGGAGUUAUCUACAGAUAUAGCAACGUUUUUCAGAGGAAAGCCACUUGCUUGACUACAAAACAUAAUGAUGCAAGAAACAUUUUGAAACAAAUUUAAAAAAUAAUCUGUGAUUAAUUUUUGGUAAAAUUGUAAAUCAGUAGGCACCUUAAUUUCAUCACUUUAGGACAACAUUGUUGAAUUUUGACCCAAUCAUAGUCUUAGACAUCUCUGGUGGCACAUUAUUGGAUUCCACUCUUGAAAUGUGUACAUAUUUGUGUGUAUAAAAUUGAAAUUGUAAAUAAAUAUCUGUAUGAAAAUUG
rnacentral:misc_RNA from 1 species